CUAGCUGGAACAAUGUCCUCUGGUCUGUCUCCUCCACAGCUCCGACAGGUCUACCUGCUGGUUACUAGUCCAACUCUCUAGCUGGAACAAUGUCCUCUGGUCUGUCUCCUCCACAGCUCCGACAGGUCUACCUGCUGGUUACUAGCCCAACUCUCUAGCUGGAACAAUGUCCUCUGGUCUGUCUCCUCCACAGCUCCUACAGGUCUACCUGCUGGUUACUAGCCCAACUCUCUAGCUGGAACAAUGUCCUCUGGUCUGUCUCCUCCACAGCUCCUACAGGUCUACCUGCUGGUUACUGGCCCAACACUCUAACCACUAGACUACCUGCUGGUUACUAGUCCAACGCUCUAACCACUAGACUACCUGCUGGUUACUAGCCCAACUCUCUAGCUGGAACAAUGUCCUCUGGUCUGUCUCCUCCACAGCUCCGACAGGUCUACCUGCUGGUUACUAGCCCAACUCUCUAGCUGGAACAAUGUCCUCUGGUCUGUCUCCUCCACAGCUCCGACAGGUCUACCUGCUGGUUACUAGCCCAACUCUCUAGCUGGAACAAUGUCCUCUGGUCUGUCUCCUCCACAGCUCCGACAGGUCUACCUGCUGGUUACUAGCCCAACUCUCUAGCUGGAACAAUGUCCUCUGGUCUGUCUCCUCCACAGCUCCGACAGGUCUACCUGCUGGUUACUAGUCCAACUCUCUAGCUGGAACAAUGUCCUCUGGUCUGUCUCCUCCACAGCUCCGACAGGUCUACCUGCUGGUUACUAGCCCAACUCUCUAGCUGGAACAAUGUCCUCUGGUCUGUCUCCUCCACAGCUCCUACAGGUCUACCUGCUGGUUACUAGCCCAACUCUCUAGCUGGAACAAUGUCCUCUGGUCUGUCUCCUCCACAGCUCCUACAGGUCUACCUGCUGGUUACUAGUCCAACGCUCUAACCACUAGUCUACCUGCUGGUUACUAGUCCAACUCUCUAGCUGGAACAAUGUCCUCUGGUCUGUCUCCUCCACAGCUCCGACAGGUCUACCUGCUGGUUACUAGCCCAACUCUCUAGCUGGAACAAUGUCCUCUGGUCUGUCUCCUCCACAGCUCCGACAGGUCUACCUGCUGGUUACUAGUCCAACUCUCUAGCUGGAACAAUGUCCUCUGGUCUGUCUCCUCCACAGCUCCGACAGGUCUACCUGCUGGUUACUAGCCCAACUCUCUAGCUGG